AUUGAACGCUGGCGGCAGGCCUAACACAUGCAAGUCGAACGAGUGGCGGACGGGUGAGUAAUGUCUGGGAAACUGCCCGAUGGAGGGGGAUAACUACUGGAAACGGUAGCUAAUACCGCAUACCAUCGGAUGUGCCCAGAUGGGAUUAGCUAGUAGGUGGGGUAACGGCUCACCUAGGCGACGAUCCCUAGCUGGUCUGAGAGGAUGACAAGCCACACGGGAACUGUGACACGGUCCAGCCUCCUACGGGAGGCAGCAGUGGGGAAUAUUGCACAAUGGGCGCAAGCCUGAUGCAGCCAUGCCGCGUGUAUGAAGAAGGCCUUCGGGUUGUAAAGUACUUUCAGCGAGGAGGCGUUACCCGCAGAAGAAGCACCGGCUAACUCCGUGCGAGCGGCCGCGGUGAUUC
rnacentral:rRNA from 1 species